AGAGUUUGAUCAUGGCUCAGAUUGAACGCUGGCGGCAGGCUUAACACAUGCAAGUCGAGCGGAGAGAGGUAGCUUGCUACUGAUCUUAGCGGCGGACGGGUGAGUAAUGCUUAGGAAUCUGCCUAUUAGUGGGGGACAACAUUUCGAAAGGAAUGCUAAUACCGCAUACGUCCUACGGGAGAAAGCAGGGGAUCUUCGGACCUUGCGCUAAUAGAUGAGCCUAAGUCGGAUUAGCUAGUUGGUGGGGUAAAGGCCUACCAAGGCGACGAUCUGUAGCGGGUCUGAGAGGAUGAUCCGCCACACUGGGACUGAGACACGGCCCAGACUCCUACGGGAGGCAGCAGUGGGGAAUAUUGGACAAUGGGCGCAAGCCUGAUCCAGCCAUGCCGCGUGUGUGAAGAAGGCCUUAUGGUUGUAAAGCACUUUAAGCGAGGAGGAGGCUACUUUAGAUAAUACCUAGAGAUAGUGGACGUUACUCGCAGAAUAAGCACCGGCUAACUCUGUGCCAGCAGCCGCGGUAAUACAGAGGGUGCAAGCGUUAAUCGGAUUUACUGGGCGUAAAGCGCGCGUAGGCGGCUAAUUAAGUCAAAUGUGAAAUCCCCGAGCUUAACUUGGGAAUUGCAUUCGAUACUGGUUAGCUAGAGUGUGGGAGAGGAUGGUAGAAUUCCAGGUGUAGCGGUGAAAUGCGUAGAGAUCUGGAGGAAUACCGAUGGCGAAGGCAGCCAUCUGGCCUAACACUGACGCUGAGGUGCGAAAGCAUGGGGAGCAAACAGGAUUAGAUACCCUGGUAGUCCAUGCCGUAAACGAUGUCUACUAGCCGUUGGGGCCUUUGAGGCUUUAGUGGCGCAGCUAACGCGAUAAGUAGACCGCCUGGGGAGUACGGUCGCAAGACUAAAACUCAAAUGAAUUGACGGGGGCCCGCACAAGCGGUGGAGCAUGUGGUUUAAUUCGAUGCAACGCGAAGAACCUUACCUGGCCUUGACAUAGUAAGAACUUUCCAGAGAUGGAUUGGUGCCUUCGGGAACUUACAUACAGGUGCUGCAUGGCUGUCGUCAGCUCGUGUCGUGAGAUGUUGGGUUAAGUCCC
rnacentral:rRNA from 2 species